rnacentral:siRNA from 1 species
UGAUGCUUGGAACGGAACUAACAU